UGGGGAAUCUUGGACAAUGGGCGCAAGCCUGAUCCAGCCAUGCCGCGUGAGUGAAGAAGGCCUUCGGUUGUAAAGCUCUUUUUCCAGGGACGCGGUACCUGGAGAAUAAGCCCCGGCAAACUUCGUGCCAGCAGCCGCGGUAAUACGAAGGGGGCGAGCGUUGUUCGGAAUUACUGGGCGUAAAGCGCACGUAGGCUGACAUUUAAGUGAGGGGUGAAAUCCCGAGGCUCAACCUCGGAACUGCCCUUCAUACUGGGUGUCUCGAGUCCGGAAGAGGUUAGUGGAAUUCCCAGUGUAGAGGUGAAAUUCGUAGAUAUUGGGACGAACACCAGUGGCGAAGGCGGCUAACUGGUCCGGUACUGACGCUGAGGUGCGAAAGCGUGGGGAG
rnacentral:rRNA from 1 species